CAGCAGCAGCCGCGGUAAUACGUAGGGUGCAAGCGUUAAUCGGAAUUACUGGGCGUAAAGCGUGCGCAGGCGGUUUUGUAAGUCUGUCGUGAAAUCCCCGGGCUCAACCUGGGAAUGGCGAUGGAGACUGCAAGGCUAGAAUCUGGCAGAGGGGGGUAGAAUUCCACGUGUAGCAGUGAAACGCGUAGAUAUGUGGAGGAACACCGAUGGCGAAGGCAGCCCCCUGGGCUAAGAUUGACGCUCAUGCACGAAAGCGUGGGGAGCAAACAGGAUUAGAGACCCCAGUAGUCCCUGUCUCUUAUAC
rnacentral:rRNA from 1 species